rnacentral:rRNA from 1 species
CACGUAGGGCGCAAGCGUUGUCCGGAAUUAUUGGGCGUAAAGAGCUCGUAGGCGGACUGUCACGUCCGCUGUGAAAAGCUAGGGCUUAACCCUGGCCUUGCAGUGGAUACGGGCAGACUAGAGGUAGGUAGGGGAGAAUGGAAUUCCCGGGUGUAGCGGUGAAAUGCGUAGAUAUCUGGAGGAACACCGGGUGGCGAAGGCGGCAUCCUGGACCGAGAUUGACGCUGAGGCGCGAAAGCCAGGGGAGCAACGGG